rnacentral:rRNA from 1 species
UACAGAGGGUGCAAGCGUUAAUCGGAAUUACUGGGCGUAAAGCGUGCGUAGACGGUUAUGUAAGUCAGAUGUGAAAGCCCCCGGGCUCAACCUGGGAAUUGCAUUUGAGACUGCAUAGCUAGGGUGCGGAAGAGGGAAGCGGAAUUUCCGGUGUAGCGGUGAAAUGCGUAGAUAUCGGAAGGAACACCAGUGGCGAAAGCGGCUUCCUGGUCCAGCACCGACGUUCAGGCACGAAAGCGUGGGGAGCAAACAGG